ensembl:lncRNA
GGAGGUGUGUCCUCUCUGCUUGUCACUCACAGUGAAGGAGGUGUGUCCUCUCUGCUUGUCACUCACAGUGAAGGAGGUGUGUCCUCUCUGCUUGUCACUUACAGUGAAGGAGGUGUGUCCUCUCUGCUUGUCACCUCACAGUGAAGGAGGUGUGGCCUCUCUGCUUGUCACUUACAGUGAAGGAGGUGUGGCCUCUCUGCUUGUCACUUACAGUGAAGGAGGUGUGGCCUCUGUGCUUGUCACUUACAGUGAAGGAGGUGUGUCCUCUCAGCUUGUCACUCACAGUGAAGGAGGUGUGGCCUAGAUAAAUAUUACAUUGCAAGUUUUUUGUAAUACAGGUUCUCAGAAUUAAGCAUGAGCUGUUAUUCUCUCUCUCUCUCUCUCUCUCUCUCUCUC